rnacentral:rRNA from 1 species
CCUACGGGGGGCAGCAGUGAGGAAUAUUGCGCAAUGGGCGAAAGCCUGACGCAGCGACGCCGCGUGAGGGAUGAAGGUCUUCGGAUCGUAAACCUCUGUCAGCAGGGAGGAACGGUCACUGUGCUAAUCAGCAGUGAAUUGACGGUACCUGCAAAGGAAGCACCGGCUAACUCCGUGCCAGCAGCCGCGGUAAUACGGAGGGUGCGAGCGUUAAUCGGAAUUACUGGGCGUAAAGCGCUCGUAGGCGGUAUGUCAAGUCAAGGGUGAAAUCCCCGCGCUCAACGUGGGAACUGCCUUUGAAACUGGCAAACUGGAGUGUGUGAGAGGAUAGUGGAAUUCCAGGUGUAGGAGUGAAAUCCGUAGAUAUCUGGAGGAACAUCAGUGGCGAAGGCGACUAUCUGGAACAUAACUGACGCUGAGGAGCGAAAGCGUGGGUAGCAAACAGGAUUAGAUACCCUAGUAGUC